UGUCUGCGUGCGCCUCAGAGCUGUGACAGCUGCUGUGUCCUGGGGUAGACGCUGCUUCUCCCAGACUUUGGAGGUCUGUGAUGUCAGAAAAGUGGCUCCCCCUGCCUCCACCCCACCUCUGCUGUGUCUGCGGGACUCUGGAGGAGUUUCUUAGCUGUGCAUUGUGAAGGCCAACUGUGUCUUGUGCUGUCUCAGAAGAGAGCUUGGGAUGUAGUGAUGCCUGCCCCGGGAAGGAAGCUGCUUCAGAUUCCUAGCUAGAAGCCAAAGCGAAGGUCGGAGAUGGAGGUUUCAGGAUCCAUAGCAUCGCAGGCCGAAGAAGGGUUGAAAUGCAUGGGCUCUCUCACUGAGUCAGCCUUGGAGAUGCUCUGAACACUGUCCCCACACUUCAAACGCAGGCUGAGCUCACACCAUGGCAGAGCUCAGUGAGAACUAAGGAUACUGAAUGCCCACUCCACUGCUGAGGUCCAGGCUAAGGUGGGACGGUUGCAGGGGCAGGAAGUGACGUCAUUCUGGACUCACCUGCCUUCACCCAGGAGACUCCCACCCCACCAGCAAACCUAAGGACUGGGCGAACAGCAGCUGCUCUGAACAAAGAGGGGAGGCCCUUAUCGUGGGUUCUGGAUGAUUUCUACAGCGAAGGGAGCAAGAAGCACCACAAAGCUAGUCGCCCUUCUCACUCCCACCGGUGGGCAGGGACCAGGUGUCAUACGGGCCUUUUCUUUGGAUGGGACAGCAGAUCUUCAAGAUGGAAAAAAAUAAACAAACACCCUGGUACCCACAUCCCCCAAAUAAAUGGUCACUUUUACGUGUUACAACACACCAAUUUUGAAAACUAAAAACCCAGCUAAAACAUGACUCACAAAUAUUGAACCCUAUCUUUAAUUUCAUAGCCAAGCAAAGUGAGGGGCAAGAGAGAAAGGGACCCCCAGAUCAGCAGCAUUCAACACCUUUCUCAUCCCCAGAAGGAGACUUCCAGGCCAGUAUGCACCACUUAUAUCCCACAGCACGGCUGAGUCCCAACACCCAGGCAUGGGAGGAAGGUCUAUCUCCCUUUUUCUGGGCCCUGUCCGGAGAAGACAGAGCAGAGGAAGGGCAUGGAUAACACCUGCAGGUCUGAAGGAAAAGCCAGCCAGGCAAGUAGGCAGGGAGAUAGGCCACAGAAAUAAAUAACAUAUUAUUACAGGGUGCAUUUAAAUUUAUUUAUUUGUAUUUUAUGUGCUUUGGUGUUUUGCCUUCAUGUAUAUCUGUGUAAGGGUAUAGGAUCCCUUGGAACAGGAGUUACAGACAGUUGUGAGCUGCCGUGUGAGUGCUGGGACUUGAACCCAGGUCCUCUGGAAGAGUAGCCAGUGCUCUUACUUGCUAAGCCAUCUCUCCAGCCCCCACAGGGUGCAUUUUAUUGCACACCUCCAGCCAAGGUUCAUUGAAAAGGAUAACAAAAUACUCUCCUACCAAUUUGCCACCUUUCAAGGACAAUUUAAUAAUGUUUACUUUGUUAUUAGAAAAUUGUUCCAUUUGUGAAUCUUUAGUAAUAUUCCUCCCCGGGGACACUUCUAUCUUUGGAGUCUUUCUUUUCAUUCUCCUCUUCCUCCUCCUC